CAUGCAAGUCGAACGGAAACCUUCGGGUUUUAGUGGCGAACGGGUGAGUAACACGUAAGCAACCUGCCCUUAAGACGAGGAUAACAAUUGGAAACAGUUGCUAAGACUGGAUAGGAAAAGUAAAGGCAUCUUUACUUUUUUAAAAGACCUUCUUUGAAGGUAUGCUUAAGGAGGGGCUUGCGACACAUUAGUUAGUUGGCAGGGUAAAGGCCUACCAAGACUAUGAUGUGUAGCUGGACUGAGAGGUUGAACAGCCACAUUGGGACUGAGACACGGCCCAAACUCCUACGGGAGGCAGCAGUAGGGAAUUUUCGGCAAUGGAGGAAACUCUGACCGAGCAACGCCGCGUGAACGAUGAAGUACCUCGGUAUGUAAAGUUCUUUUAUUAAGGAAGAAAAAAGAGUGGAAAAACUCCCUUGACGGUACUUAAUGAAUAAGCCCCGGCUAAUUAUGUGCCAGCAGCCGCGGUAAUACAUAAGGGGCGAGCGUUAUCCGGAAUUAUUGGGCGUAAAGGGUGCGUAGGCGGUUUAAUAAGUCUAUAGUUUAAUUUCAGUGCUUAACGCUGUUGUGCUAUAGAAACUGUUUUACUAGAGUGAGUUAGAGGCAAGCGGAAUUCCAUGUGUAGCGGUAAAAUGCGUAAAUAUAUGGAGGAACACCAGAGGCGUAGGCGGCUUGCUGGGACUUUACUGACGCUGAGGCACGAAAGCGUGGGGAGCAAACAGGAUUAGAUACCCUGGUAGUCCACGCCGUAAACGAUGAGUACUAAGUGUCGGGUAAAACCGGUACUGAAGUUAACACAUUAAGUACUCCGCCUGAGUAGUACGUACGCAAGUAUGAAACUUAAAGGAAUUGACGGGACUCCGCACAAGCGGUGGAUCAUGUUGUUUAAUUCGAAGAUACACGAAAAACCUUACCAGGUCUUGACAUUUUCUUGCGAAGUUAUAGAAAUAUAAUGGAGGUUAUCAGGAAAACAGGUGGUGCAUGGUUGUCGUCAGCUCGUGUCGUGAGAUGUUAGGUUAAGUCCUAAAACGAGCGCAACCCUUGUUGUUAAUUGCCAGCAUGUAAUGAUGGGGACUUUAACGAGACUGCCAAUGAAAAAUUGGAGGAAGGUGGGGAUUACGUCAAAUCAUCAUGCCCCUUAUGAUCUGGGCUACAAACGUGAUACAAUGGUUGAUACAAAGAGUAGCUGAAACGCGAGUUUUUAGCCAAUCUCACAAAAUCAAUCUCAGUUCGGAUUGAAGUCUGCAACUCGACUUCAUGAAGUUGGAAUCGCUAGUAAUCGCGAAUCAGCAUGUCGCGGUGAAUACGUUCUCGGGGUUUGUACACACCGCCCGUCAAACCACGAAAGUUGGCAAUACCCCAAAGCGGUCACCUAACUUCGCAAGAAGAAGGAUCCGUCUAAGGUAGGGUCGAUGAUUGGGGUUAAG
rnacentral:rRNA from 1 species